rnacentral:rRNA from 1 species
CACGUAGGGCGCAAGCGUUGUCCGGAAUUAUUGGGCGUAAAGAGCUCGUAGGCGGUCUGUUGCGUCCGCUGUGAAAACUCGGGGCUUAACCCCGAGCCUGCAGUGGAUACGGGCAGACUAGAGGUAGGUAGGGGAGAAUGGGAUUCCCGGUGUAGCGGUGAAAUGCGCAGAUAUCGGGAGGAACACCGGUGGCGAAGGCGGUUCUCUGGGCCUUACCGGACGCUGAGGAGCGAAAGCGUGGGGAGCGAACAGG